rnacentral:lncRNA from 1 species
AUGGUAUAAGUAAAUAAGUUAAUGACGUGUUGAUUUUCAUCAUUUUUAACAUGUGUGCAAAAACGAUGCAUGAUCGCAUAAGAAUAUGUAAACAAUAUGUAUACAUUGAUGAAUGUAAUAUAUAAUGAAUUAAAAAGUAAGCUGAGAGGUGAUAUCUAGACAAUUUUGACGUUUUGGUAAUGUAAUGGCACCUUUUGUUUUGCACUAACUAUGAGUCAUGUUGGAUAUACAUUAUAAUUUAGUAUACAUUAGUACUUUCUAUAAUGCAUAAUUAUUGGAAUAAGUGUUCCAGUGUAUUUAGCAUUUAUACACUCAAAUAUGUACUGAGGACGUUAAUAAUUACAUAUGUGAUAGUACAUGAGUUAACAACCAAAAUUUGUUGUACAGCAGCUCACUCGUAUGUAUGUAGUUGAUACAAGAAGUCG